GCUAAACGCGAAGAACCUUACCUACUCUUGACAUCCAGAGAAGUUUGCAGAGAUGCGAACGUGCCUUCGGGAACUCUGAGACAGGUGCUGCAUGGCUGUCGUCAGCUCGUGUUGUGAAAUGUUGGGUUAAGUCCCGCAACGAGCGCAACCCUUAUCCUUUGUUGCCAGCGAUUCGGUCGGGAACUCAAAGGAGACUGCCAGUGAUAAACUGGAGGAAGGUGGGGAUGACGUCAAGUCAUCAUGGCCCUUACGAGUAGGGCUACACACGUGCUACAAUGGCAUAUACAAAGAGAAGCGACCUCGCGAGAGCAAGCGGACCUCAUAAAGUAUGUCGUAGUCCGGAUUGGAGUCUGCAACUCGACUCCGUGAAGUCGGAAUCGCUAGUAACCGCGAAUCAGAAUGUCGCGGUGAAUACGUUCCCGGGUCUUGUACACACCG
rnacentral:rRNA from 1 species